AUUGAACGCUAGCGGGAUGCCUUACACAUGCAAGUCGAACGGAGUGGCGAACGGGUGAGUAAUGUAUCGGAACGAGCCUAGUUGCGGGGGAUAACUACGCGAAAGCGUAGCUAACUCCGAAUACUUUUGGUCCGGCCGGCAUCGGAUUGGCUAGUUGGUGGGGUAACGGCUCACCAAGGCGACGAUCCGUAGCUGGUUUGAGAGGAUGACCAGCCACACUGGGACUGAGACACGGCCCAGACUCCUACGGGAGGCAGCAGUGGGGAAUUUUGGACAAUGGGGGAAACCCUGAUGCAGCCAUCCCGCGUGUGUGAUGAAGGCCUUCGGGUUGUAAAGCACUUUUGGCAGGAAGGCGGUACCUGCAGAAUAAGCACCGGCUAACUACGUGCCAGCAGCCGCGGUAAUAC
rnacentral:rRNA from 1 species